CCUACGGGCGGCAGCAGUGGGGAAUAUUGCACAAUGGGGGAAACCCUGAUGCAGCGACGCCGCGUGAGUGAAGAAGUAUUUCGGUAUGUAAAGCUCUAUCAGCAGGGAAGAAAAUGACGGUACCUGAUGAAGAAGCCCCGGCUAACUACGUGCCAGCAGCCGCGGUAAUACGUAGGGGGCAAGCGUUAUCCGGAUUUACUGGGGGGAAAGGGAGCGUAGACGGCAGAACAAGUCUGGAGUGAAAUGCCGGGGCUUAACCCCGGAACUGCUUUGGAAACUGUGCAGCUUGAGUGCAGGAGGGGUAAGUGGAAUGCCUGGUGUAGCGGUGAAAUGCGUAGAUAUUAGGAGGAACACCGGUGGCGAAGGCGGCUUACUGGACUGUAACUGACGUUGAGGCUCGAAAGCGUGGGGAGCAAACAGGAUUAGAUACCCGUGUAGUC
rnacentral:rRNA from 1 species